UACGGAAGGCAGCAGUGGGGAAUCUUAGACAAUGGGGGCAACCCUGAUCUAGCCAUGCCGCGUGAGUGAUGAAGGCCUUAGGGUUGUAAAGCUCUUUCAGCUGGGAAGAUAAUGACGGUACCAGCAGAAGAAGCCCCGGCUAACUCCGUGCCAGCAGCCGCGGUAAUACGGAGGGGCUAGCGUUGUUCGGAAUUACUGGGCGUAAAGCGCACGUAGGCGGACUGGAAAGUCAGAGGUGAAAUCCCAGGGCUCAACCUUGGAACUGCCUUUUGAAACUAUCAGUCUGGAGUUCGAGAGAGGUGAGUGGAAUUCCGAGUGUAGAGGUGAAAUUCGUAGAUAUUCGGAGGAACACCAGUGGCGAAGGCGGCUCACUGGCUCGAUACUGACGCUGAGGUGCGAAAGCGUGGGGAGCAAACAGGGAUUAGAUACC
rnacentral:rRNA from 1 species